rnacentral:rRNA from 1 species
CACGUAGGGUGCGAGCGUUGUCCGGAAUUAUUGGGCGUAAAGAGCUCGUAGGCGGUGUGUCGCGUCGGCCGUGAAAACCUGCAGCUUAACUGUGGGCUUGCGGUCGAUACGGGCAUCACUGGAGUUCGGCAGGGGAGACUGGAAUUCCUGGUGUAGCGGUGAAAUGCGCAGAUAUCAGGAGGAACACCGGUGGCGAAGGCAGAUCUCUGGGCCGUAACUGACGCUGAGGAGCGAAAGCAUGGGGAGCGAACAGG